rnacentral:rRNA from 1 species
GAGUUUGAUCGUGGCUCAGGACGAACGCUGGCGGCGUGGAUUAGGCAUGCAAGUCGAACGACGGUGUAGGGCUUGCCCUGCAUACGGAGUGGCGAACGGGUGAGUAACACGUGAACAAUCUGCCCUUACGUUCCGGAUAAUUGGUCGAAAGGCCUUGUAAUACGGGGGAGGAUCGGUCUUUGGCAUCUUAGACCGAGGGAAGUCGCAAGACGCGCAAGGAGGAGUUCGCGGAUUAUCAGGUAGUUGGUGAGGUAACGGCUCACCAAGCCUACGACGAUUAGCUGGUCUGAGAGGAUGGUCAGCCACAUUGGAACUGAGACACUGUCCAGACUCCUACGGGAGGCUGCAGUCGAGAAUCUUGGUCAAUGCACGAAAGUGUGAACCAGCGACGCCGCGUGAAGGAUGAAGGCCCUCUGGGUCGUAAACUUCUUUUACGGGAGAAGAAUCAAUGACGGUAUCCCGUGAAUAAGCCACGGCUAACUACGUGCCAGCCGCCGCGGU